CUGCCAGAAUUCAUAUGCUUGUCCCGAAGAAUUAAGCCAUGCAUGCCCAUGACAAAUCGGUUCUGGGGGGAAUUUCCUGCGGGGAUGGCGAGUUUGGGUUUGACUGUAAGGCCAAAAUACAAUUCCCCCCACAUAGAAACGAGGAAUCAGCGAACGGCUCCGCAUAUCUGUUGUGACCUAUCGUGGUAAGUAAGGCGUGGAUAUAGCACGGAAAAGCUGUGUGUAACACAGUUGAAUGGGGCAACCCCUCGGCCGAGUGUCUCUCGGUCUGUUUGGGCUAACUGGAACUGGCACGCUUUGACCACGUGCUGAUCCGGCCUCGCAAAUCCUCCUAAAGUAUGCCGACAAUUCCGGGGGUGGGCAACAAUCCCGCCUACCGACGGUAAAAAACGGAGGCCUCUUCUUGGGAACUCUCCCGACCGGGUAUCACGCCCUAAGCUGGAUUUGGGCCCGGAUUGCGCAUUCCCCUCAAUAAGAAGAGUCUAACCACGAGCGCACGAUGGGCUUCAGACCUAUCAGCUUGAUGGUAGGGUAUUGGCCUACCAUGGCAAUGACGGGUACAGAGGAUUAGGGUUUGAUCCUGGAGAGGUAGCCUGAGAAAUCGCUCCCACUUCUAAGGAAGGCAGCAGGCGCGUAACGUUCCCAAUGCUCGUGUGAGUGAUGACGUAAUGGAAUAUAACUAUACCUCUUGUGGACAAGUGUGGUUCAUGAGGACAAGUCU
rnacentral:rRNA from 1 species